AGUUUGGGCAAAAACGAAAGAAGAAAAAAAUUUGACGAUGAUGAUGCUUAUCUCAAAGUGGUCCCCAGCCAUUUAAAGAGCUCCACCACCACCACACCCUCUCCAUCACCCCUCUCUUCCCUUCCACACCCCGCCCCUAAUCGCUCCAUUUCACCCGUAAUCCUCACCCUCUCUCUCUAUAUGGCUUCUAUUUCACCACCAUCUCCAUACAAACUCACCUUCACAACCAGGAAAAGACUUCCAUACCCCUCUCCAAAACCACAAUUCCGUUCUCGCUACCCUCUCUCUAGGCUUCUUUCUGAUUCCACUCUGUGUCGCUGCACUGACUCUUCAAAUAAUCCUUCGAUUCAGUGGCGAUGGGACGCUGCGUUGCAAGCUGUGUUUAAGAAUGCGAUUAAGAGUUUCGAUUCGUAUAUGAAUCCGACUAAGAAGGGAGUUGGCAAUAAAGGUGUUAGGGAGGGAGAAACUGGAGAGGAAGAGGACGAGGAAGAUGGAACUGUGUGGGAUUGGGAUCGCUGGAGAUUGCAUUUUGAUCAAGUUGAUGAACAACAACGCCUUGUUUCCCUUUUGAAGUCACAGUUAGGCAACGCUGUUAACAGAGAGGAUUAUGAAGAUGCUGCUAGGCUUAAAGUGGCAAUUGCAGCUGCAGCUUCAAAUGAUACUGUUGGCAGAGUGAUGUCACAGCUGAAUAGAGCAUUAGCACAAGAGCGUUACCUGGAGGCAGCUUUUUUACGAGAUAAUGCUGGUGCUGGAUUGGUGGGAUGGUGGUCUGGAGUUUCUGAAGAUGUUGAUGAUCCUUAUGGUCUGAUUAUACGUAUAACCGCAGAGCAUGGAAGAUAUGUAGCAAGGAGUUACAGUCCACGACAGCUUGCUACAGCUGCAGUGGGGGUACCCCUUUUUGAGAUCUUUCUUACAACGAAUAAGAAAGGGGAAUACAAUGAACAGGCUGUGUAUUUGAAGAGGAAAGGACUUUUCCAAGAUCCUUCUACCUUGCCCUCUAAAGCUUCGGGUGCCACCAGUCGCUUGAAUCCACCAGGGCCAACUGAAGAUAAAAGUGACCUAUUUGUUGUGAGUACUGAGGAGGUAGAUGAUGCUGAUGACACAGAAGAUGGUUCUGAUCUAGCUGAGGGACUGCCUGGCUUUCAGAACAUUUUGAGAGAUAUGGUUCCUGGUGUGAAGGUCAAGGUUUUGAAAGUGACAACACCAGCAAAGGUGGACAAGGAUUUUAUAUCUAAGGUGAUAGAGCAAAUAAUCGAUGAAGAAGAUGAUGAGAAGGAUAUUGAGUUAGAAAGUGAGGAAGCAGAAGAUGAUGGCAAAGGUGAAAGUGACCUGGAAAGAGAUGAAAUUGAAAUGGAUGCUGGUCGUGGGAUCAUUGAUGAUGAAAAUCAAAGUGAAAUUGCAGUUAAAGUUGUUGUUGGGGGUCUUGCACAGAAACUUUCAGGGAGCAUUCCUGCAAAAGGCUCAAUUAGAGUACCAGCUAAGCUAGACAGAAAGGGACGCAAGUCAUUUUCCUUUUCUAUAGAGAAAGAAGUAAACCAACAAAAUGCCAAGGAACUGGCUUCAGCGGACAGAAAAGCUAAGCUUCGAGGUCAACGCAGUGUGGACCAUGUAAUGUUUGAUCUAGCCAAAUUCAUUGGUAGUGAGAAGAUACCCUUGAAGGUGCUGAAAGAUGUUGGUGAACUAAUAAAUCUUACCCUCAGCCAGGCUCAAAACCGUCAACCACUGUCGGGAUCAACAACUUUUCAUCGAAUUGAGAUAUCAACAUCUCCUGAUCCUUUAAAUGGACUAUAUAUUGGUGCACAUGGGCUGUACACCUCAGAAGUCAUACACCUGCAACGUAAAUUUGGUCAGUGGCAAGAAGAUCAUGGGACUAAGGAGUCAUCUAAUCUAGAGUUCUAUGAAUAUGUGGAAGCUGUUAAAUUAACUGGAGAUCCUUAUGUACCUGCUGGACAGGUGGCAUUUCGUGCUAAGGUUGGGAAAAGAUAUCAGCUCCCCCAUAGAGGCAUCAUUCCUGAAGAAUUUGGAGUGAUUGCUCGAUAUAAAGGACAAGGGAGGCUUGCUGAGCCAGGAUUCCGAAAUCAUCGAUGGGUUGAUGGUGAACUUGUUAUUCUUGAUGGAAAGUACAUUAAAGGGGGGCCUGUUGUUGGGUUUGUGUACUGGGCUCCUGAAUAUCACUUCUUGGUGUUCUUCAAUCGUCUAAGGCUUCAACAGUAGAUGCUCAUCGUGUACAUUAUACUUGAGCUUGCCUAUUCUUUCUUCGUAUUUGGUUGGUCGUGAAUGGCAUUUUGCUACCUGUAUGUUCUCCACCUUGAGCAGAGGCCUAGAGGCUUAGAAGUCUUUCCCUGUCCAAUGCACCAUCGCCUGACUAUUGCACCUGUAAGCUUAUUACUGACUGGAAUUAACCCAGAAAGCUUGGAGAGGUGGUAGAUGCUCAGCCUUUUUCACUGCAUGAUUUUGAGGCAAUUCUUUCCAUCAGCUCAUUAUGCCUGUGCCAAUUUUUGCUAUACUGCCUCUCAAUUUCGAAGUAGUAUUUAGUACUGGUAUUAAUUAUGAUGCUACUUCGGUAAUGAUAUUGAUAGAUGUAGUUGGUAUGUGAAAACACAGAUGCAGAGACCAGUGUAUUCGAGGGUUGUUAAUGUUAUAUUUUCUAUAGAAGUUGUUGGACAAGCUUGUUACAUUUUGAACGGGCUCAUGUGCAAUCAAGUGCUUUGUACCG